UGCAUUUUUGUUCCAAAAGCAAACAGAAAAUGUUUCAAAAGCGAGCAGAGUUUUGCAAGUGUUAGGAUUCGGGUUAGUGUGAGUGCUCUUUCCUAUAGAGGAUCUUCGGGGGAGAGUUCUGACAGGCUGGCGCACCGGCAGCUGAUUCCGAGUGAUUGACUGGUGGACCUUUAAGAAGCAGUGGAGCAGCCACUCAUCACUCGAUGGUCCCACUUGUUGAAACCGACGAGCUGUUGGAAUCAAGCCAGGAACCUAGUCCGGACUAAGAGGUCGUUUCCUGACAAGACCUAACAUCUCCGCCUGCCGCUCUCCUCCCCUCUCCAUCCUUGGUCUUCGGUACGCUCCUGGAUCCUAGCCUUUUCCCUCCGUGCAAAUACCAUCUGAAAGACAAACUCGAGCUGACCUGUAUACCCAUCCUCUGGAGCACAAUCAGAUGGUACUUUUUGAAAUACAUUAAACCUUCACUGAACAGUG